rnacentral:rRNA from 1 species
AUGCAAGUCGACGGUGAACACGAGAGCUUGCUCUGUGGGAUCAGUGGCGAACGGGUGAGUAACACGUGAGCAACCUGCCCCUGACUCUGGGAUAAGCGCUGGAAACGGCGUCUAAUACUGGAUACGAGUAGCGACCGCAUGGUCAGCUACUGGAAAGAUUUAUUGGUUGGGGAUGGGCUCGCGGCCUAUCAGCUUGUUGGUGAGGUAAUGGCUCACCAAGGCGUCGACGGGUAGCCGGCCUGAGAGGGUGACCGGCCACACUGGGACUGAGACACGGCCCAGACUCCUACGGGAGGCAGCAGUGGGGAAUAUUGCACAAUGGGCGCAAGCCUGAUGCAGCAACGCCGCGUGAGGGAUGACGGCCUUCGGGUUGUAAACCUCUUUUAGCAGGGAAGAAGCGAAAGUGACGGUACCUGCAGAAAAAGCGCCGGCUAACUACGUGCCAGCAGCCGCGGUAAUACGUAGGGCGCAAGCGUUAUCCGGAAUUAUUGGGCGUAAAGAGCUCGUAGGCGGUUUGUCGCGUCUGCUGUGAAAUCCGGAGGCUCAACCUCCGGCCUGCAGUGGGUACGGGCAGACUAGAGUGCGGUAGGGGAGAUUGGAAUUCCUGGUGUAGCGGUGGAAUGCGCAGAUAUCAGGAGGAACACCGAUGGCGAAGGCAGAUCUCUGGGCCGUAACUGACGCUGAGGAGCGAAAGGGUGGGGAGCAAACAGGCUUAGAUACCCUGGUAGUCCACCCCGUAAACGUUGGGAACUAGUUGUGGGGUCCAUUCCACGGAUUCCGUGACGCAGCUAACGCAUUAAGUUCCCCGCCUGGGGAGUACGGCCGCAAGGCUAAAACUCAAAGGAAUUGACGGGGACCCGCACAAGCGGCGGAGCAUGCGGAUUAAUUCGAUGCAACGCGAAGAACCUUACCAAGGCUUGACAUAUACGAGAACGGGCCAGAAAUGGUCAACUCUUUGGACACUCGUAAACAGGGUGGUGCAUGGGUUGUCGUCAGCUCGUGUCGUGAGAUGUUGGGUUAAGUCCCGCACGAG